GUCUCCUUGGUGUAGUCGGUUAUCACGUCGGUCUCAUAUCUCAUCGAGUAUGACUGUUCUAAGAGCAGAAAUCCGAAGGCCGCCAGUUCGAAUCUGGCAGGGGACA